GACGAACGCUGGCGGCGUGCUUAACACAUGCAAGUCGAACGGAAAGGCCCUGCUUUUGUGGGGUGCUCGAGUGGCGAACGGGUGAGUAACACGUGAGUAACCUGCCCUUGACUUUGGGAUAACUUCAGGAAACUGGGGCUAAUACCGGAUAGGAGCUCCUGCUGCAUGGUGGGGGUUGGAAAGUUUCGGCGGUUGGGGAUGGACUCGCGGCUUACCAGCUUGUUGGUGGGGUAGUGGCUUACCAAGGCUUUGACGGGUAGCCGGCCUGAGGGGGUGAACGGCCACAAUGGGACUGAGAUACGGCCCAGACUCCUACGGGAGGCAGCAGUGGGGAAUAUUGCACAAUGGGCGGAAGCCUGAUGCAGCAACGCCGCGUGCGGGAUGACGGCCUUCGGGUUGUAAACCGCUUUCGCCUGUGACGAAGCGUGAGUGACGGUAAUGGGUAAAGAAGCACCGGCUAACUACGUG
rnacentral:rRNA from 1 species